GCGGAGGAAGAACGGCACCCGUGCCUACGUAACGAGGAAAGUCCCCCCACCGCGGGGCAGGUGACUUCGCGCAAGCGAAGGUUCCGAAAGGGACGGCUCUCGAACAGACACGACACGUCCUCCCUCGACCGAUGAAGCAGGCGAACCGAGCCGUGAGGCGAGGAAGCUAACCCGCAGAGGAUAGACGGGAAGGGAACGGUGGAACGGCGAAACCUCACCGGUGCAAGCCGACGCGACGGUAGUCCCGCAACGGCGUCGGUGCUUCGCGUCCGUGCGAGCGGCGCGAGGUUCGUGUAUGAACGCAAACAUCCGUACGCGACAAACGUCCGUACGCGAACCCAGCUAAAUGCCGCCGAAACAGAAGGGGGCUUACUCUCCUCCGC
rnacentral:RNase_P_RNA from 1 species